AUUUAUAUAUAAUGACUGGAGCGAAGAGUGCCUUCUGAGAAGAAGAGGGAAAAAAAUAAAAAAAGAAAAAAGAAAAGAAAGGAAAGUGUGGUUUGCGGCACUCUUCUUCAUAGCCUGCUCAUGCUACUUUGCAAUUGCAAUCUCCAUUGCGACCUCGAAAUCUUACUGUAUUUGCGAUUAUACCCACUGGGUCUCGACCAUUAUGGGCGUUUGAUAUCUAGGCAACAAACCAGACUUUCUUAUGCUGGAGAGGUGGAAUGGGAGUCAUGGAGGCUAUGCUUCAUUCUGAUCCUUUGAGAACUAUUACAUUGGUUAAUGGUAGUCAUUCUGAGGAAAGAACAAGAAGUUUUACAAUGGAAAAUGGUGAUUGUUCUUUACAUGAUUCACCUAAGUACAAGAGGCGUAAAAUUUCUGCUGUUCGUGAUUUUCCGCCAGGAUGUGGACGUGUUGCUCAACGUACUUGCUUGAGACCAACAGAAGACUCAACUUGUACAGGUACUGUUGAGAAUUCAAUUUGUAAGGGUGGAAGCGCUGACAGACUAAAUAAUGAAAGUCCUGAUUUGCCCAAGGAUUUGCAUCCAUUGGGUGUUUCUACACCAAGAGCAGGGAUGGUUAGGGUUGCUGAGAAUUUUUUCUCACCACCGGAAAGAUUAACAGCUUCUUUUGAUGGAAGUGGUUUGAAGAAGAGUGAUAGACUAAAGAAUGAAAGCCUUGGUUUGCCUGAGGAUUUGCAUCCAUUGGGUGUUUCUACACCACCAAACGAGACGGUUUCACUUGCGACUGAGAAUUUGUUCUCACCACCGGAAAGGUCAAUUACUGCUUUUGAUGUAAGUGGUUUGAAGAAAAGUGAUAGACUAAAGAUUGCAAGCCCUGAUUUGCCCAAGGAUUUGCAUCCUGUGGAUAUUUCUGUACAAAAAGAAGAUAAGGUUCCUGUUUUGAAAGAUGAUUUGUUUUCACCACCUGAAAGGCUAAUCUCUGUUUUAGAUGGAAGUGGUCUGAAGAGCAGUAAGGCUAGAAAGUAUUGUCCUCCUCAAAGAAGAAAGGUUUCUGCUAUCCGAACUUUCCCUCCUUUAUGUGGACCAAAUGCUCCUCAUGUCAGUAAGGAAGAGUCUUCUACUCCGACGAAUAACGAUUUUGUAGAAGAGAAGUCAGAAUGCAGAAUGGCCGAUAAAAUGUCAGCUGAUACAGUGAAUAACAAUGUAAAACAAACAGCAGAGGAUGUCCAAGGUGGAGAUUCUUACAAGACAGAACUAGGAGAAAAGGAUUCUGAAGUAAUUGGGGACAAAGUUCAACCUGAAUUUGAUGGCCAUAAUGCAGAAGAAAUGGGGAAUCAAGUUGACCAUGGAAUGUUAUCUGCGAGAACGGUGGAACGAGAACAUAAGAAAGAAGACUGCACUGAACCUCCUUUUGAUAGCAAGUUAUUCUGGUGGGACCAUGAAUUUGAGACUGUUGUUGAAAACAGCAAUGACGAUGAGUGUCCGAAAGAAAACUUGGGUAAGGAGAUUGUUGUGUACUCUGAGGAAAAAGCUUUGGAUGAAAAUGUUGAUGUAUCUGGUUAUCAGAACCAAUUACAAGCAGUAGAUUAUGAGAAUUUGGAACUUAAGGAAAAAUGUGUGAACCGAAAAAUUUCAGAUUUGUCUGGUCAGAACCAAUUGCAAGUAGUAGAUACUGAGGAUUUGGAACUUCAGGACAAAAUUCUAAAUGAAAAAAUUUCAGACAUGUCUGGUUGUCAUAAUCAAUUGCAAGUAGUAGAUUUUGGCGGACUGGAAUGUUCAUCAGGCAGGGUUGUUGUGCACGGUUUGAUGGCUGCAUCUAAUUGUCCAUGGAGGCUGGGGAAGGUGGCAUACAAGUCUAAACAAGCUGCUGGUAUAAGUGGAAAUGAAGGGAAAAAACUUGAUCACAUUAGUCAGGUAGAAAGGCCUAAAACUUCUACCCGGAAAAAGGAUGAUAAAAAUGGCUUUCUCGAAAAGUCUUUGAAGAAGAUUCCAACUGUAACAGAAAAGGAUGCUUUUCAACACACUGGCCAGCUAGUAGUUUGGGAUAUGAAGGAUUCUCUUCAGCAUGAUGAUGAAUAUAAAAAUAUUCAUGUGGCUAAAAGAUCUUGUGGUUUUGAUGUUUGUGUUCCUCCUGUUGCCCCUGGUAGUUCGAGGAGUAAAGGUCAUGGCAUUGAUUCUAUUGUUACCCGAAAUAAGGUAAGGGAGACACUGCGGCUGUUCCAAGCUAUUUGUCGAAAGCUCUUGCAAGAUGAGGAAUCCAAGUCAAAGGAAGGACGAGAUGGUAAAAAUAUCAAGAGAGUUGAUUGUGGGGCUGCAAAGAUCCUCAAGGAUAAAAAUAAAUAUCUAAACACAGGCAAACAAAUCGUAGGAGCUGUACCUGGAGUGGAAGUUGGUGAUGAGUUCCAGUACAGGGUGGAGCUUAAUAUUAUUGGUCUUCAUCGCCAAAAUCAGGGUGGAAUCGAUUAUUUUAAGCAGGGUGGAAAGGUCCUUGCAACUAGUGUUGUUGCAUCGGGAGGCUAUGAUGAUGAUUUGGAUAACUCAGAUGUCUUGAUUUAUACGGGUCAGGGUGGUAACGUGAUGAAUUCAGAUAAAAAGCCUGAAGAUCAGAAGCUUGAACGUGGAAACCUUGCUUUGAAGAAUAGUGUGCUUGAAAAGAAUCCAGUCAGGGUGAUCCGUCGGUCUGAGUCGUUGGAUGGAAAGUCUAAGACAUAUGUAUAUGAUGGGCUAUAUUUAGUUGAAAAAUGUUGGCAGGACCUCGGUCCACAUGGUAAGCUGGUUUUCAAGUUUCAACUUGAAAGAAUUCCUGGUCAACCAGAGCUUGCUUGGAAGGAAGUAAAGAAGUCCAAAAAAUAUAGAAUACGAGAGGGUCUUUGUGUAGAUGAUAUAUCAGGAGGGAAAGAACGUAUUCCAAUAUGUGCUGUGAAUACUCUAGAUGAUGAGAAACCUCCAGCAUUUGUUUACAUAACCAGCAUUAUAUAUCCUACUUGGUACCGCCCUGUUCCUCCCAGGGGUUGUGACUGUGUUGCUAAAUGCACAGACUCUGAGAGAUGUUCUUGUGCAGUAAGGAAUGGAGGCGAGAUCCCAUAUAACUAUAAUGGGGCUAUUGUUGAAGCAAAGUCCCUUGUUUAUGAGUGCGGUCCUUCAUGCAAGUGCCCUCCUUCAUGCCAUAAUAGAGUCAGUCAACAUGGUAUCAAAUUUCAGCUUGAAAUUUUUAAAACUGAGACUCGGGGAUGGGGUGUCAGAUCCUUAAACUCCAUUUCUUCAGGAAGUUUUAUAUGUGAAUAUAUAGGAGAGCUCCUUGAAGAGAAGGAUGCUGAUGCAAAAACGAGCAAUGAUGAGUAUUUGUUUGAUAUUGGGAAUAACUACAAUGACUGUUCACUUUGGGGUGAACUUUCAAGUUUUGGACCUGAUGCACAGCCAAGUCCUUGUGAAUUAGUGGAGGAUGGAAGCUUCACAAUUGAUGCGGCACAGUUUGGUAAUGUGGGGAGAUUUAUAAACCAUAGUUGUACACCUAACCUUUAUGCCCAAAACGUCCUAUAUGACCAUGAUGACAAGAGGAUUCCUCAUAUAAUGCUCUUUGCUGCUGAAAACAUACCUCCGUUGCAAGAGCUGACAUAUCAUUACAAUUAUAUGAUAGAUCAGGUUCGUGAUUCAAAUGGAAAUAUAAAGAAGAAGAGUUGUUAUUGUGGUUCUCUAGAAUGCACUGGUAGGAUGUAUUGAGGUGGAAUAGCACUUAGCAGGAGAAGUUUGGUUUUGUUAUCUUUGAACAGAGCAAAGAUUUGAGCCUGAUGGUUUACAUGGGUAUGCAUGAGAUGUGGUUUUCAGAGCAUACAACUUUUCUUCUUGAGAUUGAGAUUGAAGAUUGUUAUUGAGCUUGAACGAGAUUUAACAUGUGAGUCAGCUAAAGAAUGGUCAAGGUAAGAGAGGAAGAAUUUUAAGAAAACAACCAUAAAAAUGGAUUCCUUGGAUCGAAUUAUGAUAGGAAGCAAGAUUAAGCUCGAACGGAUCAAGCAUUGAAAAGAUUCCAAAAAUAUUCUUUAUAGAUUUCAUAAAGAUUCUGUCGGAAAUUUCAUGAUGGAAGUGGAUGUCAUAUGAAUCCUCAUAAUCUGACAAUUUCAAAUAUCACAUUAGUUUUGGAUUUCGAGGUGCGAGUAAAAAGAUAUCAUCAUUUAAAGUUUAGAAUUUAUAAAAAGGAAUAUUUCUAGUUAAAUAUCCACCAUGGAUUAACAGAGGGAAUCAAGGCAAUUUGAGGGCCAAGGUUAGGACAAGUGGAGAUAAUUGGUUAAUUUAUCAUUAAUGAGGCAUAUGUCAUGUCAUAUGCUUCAGUAAGGGUAAAUUAAACUAAUUAACUAUUUUUUUAGAAAGAAUUAGAAAAGUAUUGGAGAGCAAAUAAUAUCAAGUUUCUUUUUUACAGAUAAAAUUCGUCCAACCCUCUUGAUGGUCUAAAAAAAGUAUCUUCCAAGACUCCCACAUUGAAAAUAAAGAGAGAAAAAGAUUUCCAAGGUUCUAUAUAUAUAGCCCCCACCACAUUGAAGGGAUACAAGCUUAGAAAGUUAUUUAAGAGCUUUUAGGAGGCUUUAAUAGAAACAAAUCAAAUUUUAUGAGUUUUUUAGGUUCUCUUAAGGGUUUUAGGGUUUUAAAUUUUUAGAGUUUUAGAAGAUCAAUUGGAGAGUUUAGAGGAGGCAUAGAGACAUGGGUUUGCUUGGAGAAGAAGGCUACGACUUGGAGAGCUUUUGGAGGAGGAUUUCUUCAAUAGUUUUUAUUCUCUUCUCUUUCUUUUAAUCGUGAACAUUAUUGUUUUUUUCUUUAUAAUCAUAGAUGUUGAAAUUAUUUUUGCCAUGAACUAAU